UACAGAGGAUGCAAACGUUGCUCGGAAUUACUGGGCGUAAAGGGUGCGUAGGUGGCAGGGUAAGUUCAAUGUGAAAGCUUCGGGCUCAACCCGAAAAUUGCAUCGAAUACUAUCCUGCUGGAGGGUCGGAUGGGAGACUGGAAUUCUCGGUGUAGCAGUGAAAUGCGUAGAUAUCGAGAGGAACACCGGUGGCGAAGGCGAGUCUCUGGACGAUUCCUGACACUGAGGCACGAAAGCUAGGGGAGCAAACGGG
rnacentral:rRNA from 1 species